rnacentral:ncRNA from 1 species
AGUCAGACUAUGAAAGAGCAUAAGGCGUUUGUGAAUAAUGACAGGAAAGGGCAUCAUUGACUGAGAGUGCCCACAUUGGAAGCAAGCUUACCGUUCAACUCUGGAGUCGCCAGCGGGACCAUGUUAACGAACAUGUAAAGUUGGCCGGUUGUAGUAAUACAGCCGUUAUCUCAAUGAAGUGAAAGGGCCUAUGCUCUUUUAUCAGGGUGGUACCGCGAUGAACCUCGUCCCUUUU